rnacentral:rRNA from 1 species
AUUGAACGCUGGCGGCAUGCCUCACACAUGCAAGUCGAACGGCAGCACGGGAGCAAUCCUGGUGGCGAGUGGCGAACGGGUGAGUAAUAUAUCGGAACGUGCCCAGUCGUGGGGGAUAACGUAGCGAAAGCUACGCUAAUACCGCAUACGAUCUAUGGAUGAAAGCGGGGGAUCGCAAGACCUCGCGCGAUUGGAGCGGCCGAUAUCAGAUUAGGUAGUUGGUGAGGUAAAGGCUCACCAAGCCGACGAUCUGUAGCUGGUCUGAGAGGACGACCACCCACACUGGGACUGAGACCCGGCCCAGACUCCUCCGGGAGGCAGCAGUGGGGAAUUUUGGACAAUGGGCGAAAGCCUGAUCCAGCAAUGCCGCGUGCAGGAUGAAGGCCUUCGGGUUGUAAACUGCUUUUGUACGGAACGAAAAGGUUUGGCCUAAUACGCUGAACUCAUGACGGUACCGUAAGAAUAAGCACCGGCUAACUACGUGCCAGCCGCCGCCGUAA